UAAACUUCUCUAUAUCACACAAUAUUUGUUGUAGUUUACAGAAAUCUGUUCAAUUACACAUAUCUGAUAGUUUUCAUAGGGAUGACUGUGAGAGAUAAAAGUCUGUUACUGAUACUAGGUUUUUAUACGACUGCAAAAAAAAUUUUGUGGUGGUAUAUUGGUAUGGCGUCGUCGUCGUCUGAAGACACAUUAGUUUUCACACUCUAACUUUAGUUAAAGUGAAUGGAUCUCAAUGAAAUUUUACCAUAAGUAUCAAUACCACAAAAGGAAGGUUGGGAUUGAUUUUGGGGGUUAUGGUACCAACAGUUAAGGAAUUAGGGGCCAAAAAGGGGCCAAAAAUGAGCUUUUUUGUAACUUCCAGACAUAACUUGUGUGUAAGUGUAUGGAUCUCUCUGACGUUGUACCACAAGGUUCCAUAUCACAAAGGGAAUGCUGGGAUUGAUUUUGGGGUUAAUUGCCUCCAAAUUUUAGGAAUAAGGGGCCAAAAAGGGGCAAAAAACAAGCAUUUUUCUGGUUUCAUGACAAUAACUUGUGUGUAAGUCUAUGGAUCUCUCUGAAAUUGUAUCACAAGGUUCCAUAUCACAAAGGGAAUGAAGGGAUUGAUUUUGGGGGUAAUUGCCUCCAAAUUUUAGGAAUUAGGGGCCAAAAAGGGGCAAAAAACAAGCAUUUUUCUAGUUUCAUGACAAUAACUUGUGUGUAAGUGUAUGGAUCUUUAUGAAAUUGUAUUACAAGGUUCCAUAUCACAAAGGGAAAGCUGGGUUUGAGUUUGGGGGUAAUUGCCCUAAAUGUUUUGUAUUUGGGGCCAAAAAACAAGCAUUUUUCUAGUUUCCAGACAAUAACUUGUGUUCAAGUGUAUGGAUCUCUCUGAAAUUGUACUGCAAGGUACCAUACCACAAAGGGAAGGCUGGGAUUGAGUUUGGGGGUGAUGAAUCAUAAGGGGGUUCAAAAUAUUUGAGGGGGGGAUUUUUUUUUCUUUUUUUUUCUUUAAAAUUUUCCAUUUUAAAUUGGUUAUUUCUGAUUUAUAUAUUAAAGCAAAUAAUAAUGAUAUGGUUUGAAUAGGUAAAUUAAAAUUUUUUAAGUUCUUA